rnacentral:rRNA from 1 species
UGGGGAAUAUUGCACAAUGGGGGAAACCCUGAUGCAGCGACGCCGCGUGAACGAAGAAGGUAUUCGUAUCGUAAAGUUCUGUCCUAUGGGAAGAAAAUGACAGUACCAUAGGAAUAAGGACCGGCUAAUUACGUGCCAGCAGCCGCGGUAAUACGUAAGGUCCGAGCGUUGUCCGGAAUCAUUGGGCGUAAAGGGUACGUAGGCGGGUAAGCAAGUUAGAAGUGAAAUCCUGUAGCUCAACUACAGUAAGCUUUUAAAACUGCUCAUCUUGAGAUAUGGAAGGGAAAGUGGAAUUCCUAGUGUAGCGGUGAAAUGCGCAGAUAUUAGGAGGAAUACCGGUGGCGAAGGCGACUUUCUGGCCAUAAUCUGACGCUGAGGUACGAAAGCGUGGGUAGCAAACAGG